rnacentral:rRNA from 1 species
GACGAACGCUGGCGGCGUGCUUAACACAUGCAAGUCGAACGGAAAGGCCCUUCGGGGUACUCGAGUGGCGAACGGGUGAGUAACACGUGGGUGAUCUGCCCUGCACUUUGGGAUAAGCCUGGGAAACUGGGUCUAAUAACGAAUAGGACCACGGCCUUCAUGGGUUGUGGUGGAAAGCUUUUGCGGUGUGGGAUGGGCCCGCGGCCUAUCAGCUUGUUUGUGGGGUAAUGGCCUACCAAGGCGACGACGGGUAGCCGGCCUGAGAGGGUGACCGGCCACACGGGGACUGAGAUACGGCCCAUACUGCGACGGGAGGCAGAAGUGGGUAAUAUUGCACAAUGGGCGAAAGCCUGAGGCGGCGACGCCGCGUGGGGGAUGACGGCCUUCGGGUUGUAAACCUCUUUCAGCAGGGACGAAGCGCAAGUGACGGUACCUGUAGAAGAAGGACCGGCCAACUACGUGCCAGCCGCCGCCGUAA